rnacentral:rRNA from 1 species
AUACGGAGGGUGCAAGCGUUACUCGGAAUCACUGGGCGUAAAGCGCGCGCAGGCGGGCUGAUAAGUUGGAUGUGAAAGCCUACGGCUCAACCGUAGAACUGCAUCCAAAACUGUCAGUCUAGAGUGUGGGAGAGGAAGAUGGAAUUAGUUGUGUAGGGGUAAAAUCCGUAGAGAUAACUAGGAAUACCAAAAGCGAAGGCAAUCUUCUGGAACACUACUGACGCUGAGGCGCGAAGGCGUGGGGAGCAAACAGGAUUAGAUACCCUGGUAGUCC